CCACACCUAAAACUUUCCACGUGAACCGUUUCAACCCAAUAGUUGGGGGUCUUAUUUGGCGGCGGCUGCUGGCUUAAUUGUUGGCGGCUGCUGCUGAGUGAGCCCUAUCAAAAAAAAGGCGAACGUUUGGGCUUCGGCCUGAUUUAGUAGUCUUUUUUUCUUUUAAACCCAUUCCUUAAUACUGAAUAUACUGUGGGGACGAAAGUCUCUGCUUUUAACUAGAUAGCAACUUUCAGCAGUGGAUGUCUAGGCUCGCACAUCGAUGAAGAACGCUGCGAACUGCGAUACGUAAUGCGAAUUGCAGGAUUCAGUGAGUCAUCGAAAUUUUGAACGCAUAUUGCACUUCCGGGUUAGUCCUGGAAGUAUGCCUGUAUCAGUGUCCGUACAUUAAACUUGACUUUCUUCCUUCCGUGUAGUCGGUGGAGGAGAUGUCAGAUGUGAAGUGUCUUGCGAUUGGUCUUCGGACCGGCUGCGAGUCCUUUUAAAUGUACUAAACUGAACUUCUCUUUGCUCGAAAAGUGGUGGCGUUGCUGGUUGUGAAGGCUGCUAUUGUGGCAAAUUGGCGACUGGUUUGUCUGCUGCGGCAUUAAUGGAAGAGUGUUCGAUUCGUGGUAUGGUUGGCUUCGGCUGAACAAUGCACUUAUUGGACGUUUUUCCUGCUGUGGCGUGAUGGACUGGUGAACCAUAGCUCGGUGGCUUGGCUUUUGAAUUGGCUUUGCUGUUGCGAAGUAGGGUGGCAGCUUCGGUUGUCGAGGGUCGAUCCAUUUGGGAACUUAAUGUGUACUUCGGUAUGCAUCUCAA
rnacentral:rRNA from 1 species